rnacentral:rRNA from 1 species
UGAAUACGAGAUGCUACGGCGUCGAAGCAGUCUAUGUCAUACUUCCAAGAAAAGCUUGCACUGUCAUAAACAAAUAAUGCCUGUACCAUAACCGACACAGGUGGGUAGGUAGAGUAUACUAAGGGGCGCGAGAUAACUCUCUCUAAGGAACUCGGCAAAAUGACUCCGUAACUUCGGGAGAAGGAGUGCCUUAUUUAUAAGGUUGCAAUAACAAGAUCCAAGCAACUGUUUACCAAAAACACAGGUCUCCGCUAAGUCGUAAGACGAUGUAUGGGGGCUGACGCCUGCCCAGUGCCAGAAGGUUAAAGAAGUUGGUUAGCAUCCGCGAAGCUGAUAACUGAAGCCCUGGUGAACGGCGGCCGUAACUAUAACGGUCCUAAGGUAGCGAAAUUCCUUGUCGGGUAAGUUCCGACCCGCACGAAAGGCGUAAUGAUUUGGAUACUGUCUCGGAGAGGGGCUCGGUGAAAUAGACUUGUCUGUGAAGAUGCGGACUACCUGCACCAGGACAGAAAGACCCUAUGAAGCUUUACUGUAACCUGAAAUUGAAAUUGGACUUUACUUGCGCAGUAUAGGUGGGAGGCGUUGAGAAUAUUCUUGCGGGAUUAUUGGAGCCAUCAGUGAGAUACCACUCUUGUAAUGUUAGAUUUCUAACUUUGUAUCAUUAUCUGGUCAAAGAACAGUUUCAGGCGGGCAGUUUGACUGGGGCGGUCGCCUCCUAAACGGUAACGGAGGCGCACAAAGGUUUCCUCUGAACGGGUAGAAAUCGUAUCUAGAGUGUAAAGGCAUAAGGAAGCUUGACUGUGAGACCUACAAGUCGAGCAGGGACGAAAGUCGGUCUUAGUGAUCUGACGGUGCUGAGUGGAAAGGCCGUCACUCAACGGAUAAAAGUUACUCUAAGGAUAACAGGCUGAUCUCCCCCAAGAGUUCACAUCGACGGGGAGGUUUGGCACCUCGAUGUCGGCUCAUCGCAUCCUGGGGCGGUAGUACGUCCCAAGGGUUGGGCUGUUCGCCCAUGAAAGCGGGACGCGAGCUGGGUUCAGAACGUCGUGAGACAGUUCGGUCCAUAUCCGGUGUAGGCGUUAGAAUAUUGAGAGGAGCCUUCUUUAGUACGAGAGGACCGAGAAGGACAUACCUCUGGUGUACCAGUUAUCGUGCCAACGGUAAACGCUGGGUAGCUAUGUGUGGAGUGGAUAACCGCUGAAAGCAUCUAAGUGGGAAGCCCACCUCAAGAUAAGUA